CCACACGAAGUCGGAGUUGCUAGUAAUCCCGAAUCAGCAUGUCGGGGUGAAUGCGUUCCCGGGUCUUGUACACACCGCCCGUCACGCCAUGGGAGUUAGGAGUACCCGAAGCCUGUGAGCUAACUUUUAGAGGCAGCAGUCGAAGGUAGAAUCAAUGAUUGGGGUGAAGUCGUAACAAGGUACC
rnacentral:rRNA from 1 species